rnacentral:rRNA from 1 species
CCUACGGGUGGCACCAGUGGGGAAUUUUGGACAAUGGGCGCAAGCCUGAUCCAGCCAUGCCGCGUGAGUGAAGAAGGCCUUCGGGUUGUAAAGCUCUUUCGGCUGGGAAGAAAUCGCACUCUCUAAUACAGGGUGUGGAUGACGGUACCAGCAUAAGAAGCACCGGCUAACUACGUGCCAGCAGCCGCGGUAAUACGUAGGGUGCGAGCGUUAUUCGGAAUUACUGGGCGUAAAGCGUGCGCAGGCGGUUGUGUAAGACAGACGUGAAAUCCCCGGGCUCAACCUGGGAACUGCGUUUGUGACUGCACGGCUAGAGUACGGCAGAGGGGGGUGGAAUUCCACGUGUAGCAGUGAAAUGCGUAGAGAUGUGGAGGAACACCGAUGGCGAAGGCAGCCCCCUGGGCCAGUACUGACGCUCAUGCACGAAAGCGUGGGGAGCAAACAGGAUUAGAUACCCUAGUAGUC